GGAGGAAAAGAAACUAACAAGGAUUCCCCUAGUAACGGCGAGUGAAGAGGGAAGAGCCCAAGAUUGAAAGCUGGCGUCUUCGGCGUCCGCAUUGUAAUCUCAAGAAGUGUUUUCCGCUUCGGACCAUGCCUAAGUCCCUUGGAAAAGGGCAUCAUAGAGGGUGAUAAUCCCGUACAUGGCAUGGAGCGCCCGAAGCUUUGUGAUACGCUUUCUAAGAGUCGAGUUGUUUGGGAAUGCAGCUCAAAAUGGGUGGUAAAUGCCAUCUAAGGCUAAAUAUUGGGGAGAGACCGAUAGCGAACAAGUACAGUGAUGGAAAGAUGAAAAGAACUUUGAAAAGAGAGUUAAACAGUACGUGAAAUUGCCAAAAGGGAAGGGUAGGAGGUCAGAGAUGCGUUCUGGGAUUCAGCCUUGCUUUUGCUUGGUGUUUUUCCCAAAUUGCAGGCCAACGUCGGUUUUGGGCGCUGGAGAAGGGUGGAAGGAACGUGGCACCCCUCGGGGUGUGUUAUAGCCUUCUACUGGAUACAGUGACCGAGACCGAGGACAGCAGCGUACUCGCAAGAGCGGGCCUUCGGGCACCUUUACGCUUAGGG
rnacentral:rRNA from 1 species